rnacentral:rRNA from 1 species
UGAGGAAUAUUGCGCAAUGGGCGAAAGCCUGACGCAGCGACGCCGCGUGGGGGAAGAAGGUUCUCGGAUUGUAAACCCCUUUUAGGAGGAAAGAUGGGGUGGGUAACCACCUUGACGGUACCUCCAGAAAAAGCCACGGCUAACUUCGUGCCAGCAGCCGCGGUAAUACGAAGGUGGCGAGCGUUGUUCGGAUUUACUGGGCGUAAAGAGCACGUAGGCGGUUUAGUAAGCCCCUUGUGAAAGCUCCGGGCUUAACCCGGAAAGGUCGGGGGGUACUGCUAAGCUAGAGGGCGGGAGAGGAGCGCGGAAUUCCCGGUGUAGCGGUGAAAUGCGUAGAUAUCGGGAGGAAGGCCGGUGGCGAAGGCGGCGCUCUGGAACGCAUCUGACGCUGAGGUGCGAAAGCGUGGGGAGCAAACAGG